rnacentral:tRNA from 1 species
GCCCGAAUAGCUCAGCCGGUUAGAGCGCUUGACUGUUAAUCAGGGGGUCGUUGGUUCGAGUCCAACUUCGGGCGCCA